rnacentral:rRNA from 1 species
GAUGAACGCUGGCGGCGUGCCUAAUACAUGCAAGUCGAACGAAACUUCUUUAUCACCGAGUGCUUGCACUCACCGAUAAAGAGUUGAGUGGCGAACGGGUGAGUAACACGUGGGCAACCUGCCCAAAAGAGGGGGAUAACACUUGGAAACAGGUGCUAAUACCGCAUAACCAUAGUUACCGCAUGGUAACUAUGUAAAAGGUGGCUAUACUACCGCUUUUGGAUGGGCCCGCGGCGCAUUAGCUAGUUGGUAGGGUAAAGGCUUACCAAGGCAAUGAUGCGUAGCCGAACUGAGAGGUUGAUCGGCCACAUUGGGACUGAGACACGGCCCAGACUCCUACGGGAGGCAGCAGUAGGGAAUCUUCCACAAUGGGCGAAAGCCUGAUGGAGCAACGCCGCGUGGGUGAAGAAGGUCUUCGGAUCGUAAAACCCUGUUGUUAGAGAAGAAAGUGCGUGAGUGUAACUGUUCACGUUUCGACGGUAUCUAAACAGAAAGCCACGGCUAACUACGUG